rnacentral:rRNA from 1 species
UACGUAGGCAGCAAGCGUUUGUUCGGAGUUACUGGGCGUAAAGGGUGCGUAGGCGGCCCUGUAAGUAUGGUGUGAAAUCUCCCGGCUUAACUGGGAGGGUGCGCUAUAGACUGCGGGGCUCGAGUGUGGGAGAGGAAAGUGGAAUUCCUGGUGUAGCGGUGAAAUGCGUAGAUAUCAGGAGGAACACCGGUGGUGUAAACGGCUUUCUGGACCAUAACUGACGCUGAGGCACGAAAAGCGUGGGUAGCAAACAGG